rnacentral:lncRNA from 1 species
CCCCUCUGAAUUGGGAAUGGCUGGCAUAGGAGCAGCCCCAGGAGGGUAAGGUCAGGACCACGCAGAUGUGACUGCUGCUCUGCUUGCCCCGCAGUGAUAAGGGCACAGCUGUGGGAAAGCCAGAGCAUCUGCUGUGAGUCACCAAGUGCAAACAGGAUGAUAACAGAGUUAGGCUCAGAAAAAAACAUCCCUUCGGAGACACAGAAGGCAGCACACCACAGAACACUGGCUCCUUUCUACAGAAAAAGGAAACCAAGCAAAGUUCCUUCAGCAAGUUGAGGCCUCCUGGGAAGGAAAUCGGCAAAGGACCCACUUCUGCCUAGACCAGACUAGAGCUGUCCAGAACAAAUGCAAAGUAAGCCACGCAUGCAGUCUUAAACUUCAUAGUAACAUUUAAAAAGUGAACAGGUGAAAUUAAUUUUAAUAACAUAUAUUUAACCCAGUGCAUUCAAAAUAUUA